GGCGCUCCGCCUUCCCUGAAGCCUAUAAAAGCGCAGGUCCCCGCCUCGGCAGCCACGGGACACCUGCAUCUGCCAACAAGACUGGAAGCAGAAAGGGACAGAGACGGCGAAGUUUGACGGUCUGGAAAGCAGAGACCAGCAGGGCUGACUGCUUGGGAGCACCAAAUAUCCGGACAGCGCCUCUCGGGAGGUCCGAGAAGAGAACCGCGAUCUGUUUCAGCACCGGGGCUCAGGACAGUUCCCAGCGGGCUCCGUUUCGUCUCCAGAACCCUGGACAGCUCCUCCAGACUUCGGUGAGAAACCUUGUGCCAAGCAUUUUACAUACAUCAUAUCAUGCCAUCUUCAACCCUAGGACAUGGGUGUUACUGUGCCCAUGUGACAUUUGGGGAACCCAAGGCCCUGAGAAAGGCAGAAAAAUAACCCACGCAGGGACUCUCAGCCCACAAGUGAAGCUCUUGGAAUGCACUCCCUCCACCUCCAACCAGAGCUCCCCACAACUGACCCUGCCUUCUUCUGCAAGCUCCAUUUCAUCAAGGGAAACGAUCCUUAUUGCCUCACCAUUUCCCACGUGAAGUCUGUAUUGACAUUCUCAUAGACCUGGGAUAUUGUGUCUGCAGCACAUAGUCCAAUUAUUUUCAUGUUAUCUACUGACAGGUCUAUUUGUCUCCCUGUUACACUGUGAGCUCCGUGAGGGCAGAAACAAUGUUAGUAUUUUCACUGCUGUGUCCCCAGCGCCUGGUCCGGGGCCCGGCACACAGCAGGCAUAUAAUAAGCAUGUGUUGAAUCAAUAAAGGCAUCAAAGAAUAAACCAAUACAUCAAUCAAUAAAUGAAUGAAUGGCCUCAGC
rnacentral:lncRNA from 1 species